ACCUUUCAUGCUUUCCUGUUCUGCAUUUUUAACCCCAAAAACUUCACCCAGCUUUGAACCUCUUUUUAAGGUUUCAUCACAGCAAACCCAUAAAAACAGGUCUGAAUUAUAAAACAUAAAUUAGAUCAAAUCAAACCAACAAUUUAAACAAGAAAAAAAAAUUGACCAGUCUGGAAAGCAGUUCAUGGUAGAAUUAAGUUUAAUUAAAUAUUCCACACUUUGUUGUCAAACCUUGAUUAGUGUUCUGAAUCAAAUAAAUCAUGCCCAUGAUUGCUGUUCUGGAUCAAAUAAAUCACGCCCCUGCGACUGCUUAGGCAUAGAAACAGCUGUGGCAGACAGAUUUGCAUUUUUUUCUUUUUAGUGAUGAGCUUCAGGGAAUGUGCCAACCUUUUAACACUGCAGUAGUUCCAGUAUAACUUCCCUGGAGGAACACCAACCUGGAAUGAUUACUCAAUUAUCUUUUUAACAUUUAUCUUAGGAAAGGUGGAACAAGGGCUUUUACCUGCAUGUGACCUUUACUUCAUGGCUAGCUGUGAUAUGUGCAUGGCGAAUGAUCCUGUGAUGCCCAGAUUUGUCACCACCUAUUAAAGGCUAAUGAAACUAAAAUUCACACUGCUACAUACUGCAGUCUAGGGUUUAUACGCCACGGAGUUCACUGAAGCAUCCCCAUUCAAAGAGCACAGCAAUACAUUAGUAUUCUGUCCCCUGUUCCAGAAGUUGCAUAUUGAUAGAGGAAGGGCUGUGGGAGGGUCAGGAAUGAGCCCCAGAGAAGAACUCCUCCUCUCAGGUGAAGUUAGUGAGAACUUUUUAAAAAAAAAACAAAUCACUGCUACAUCAAUUUUCCAUUCCCAAACCCCAAAGCACCAAUUUUCCAUUCCCAGCUAUACCCUAACACAGUAUAUUAGCUCUAAAAUUGAAAGAUUCUACACACUGUGCCACCAGACCACAGCAUCCACUGCUUGCUCUUGGAGGUCACGUAAUAUUGAUUUUACCAAUUAACAAACCAUUUCAUGUUCUGAUUGUGGAACAUUCUAGAACUACGCUGUUAAAUAACAUUUUACUGAAGCACUGUUGAAUACUUGAUUCUGUUUGGUCAGAAGGUGCGGAUUAAUUUUCUAACACCGAGGCAAAGUAGAAGUUUAUAUUAAUGUGCUUGUCCUCAUACUUUAUCAUUUCUAUAGCAUACACUGGGACUUGUACGGGAGGCGCGACACAAACAGAUUAACGUGUGCAAUUGCUUAUGCAUUUAUUUAGCAUUUAUUUAAGGACUAGCUGUCAGAGAUACAGCUGAGAGCCCCAAAUUCAGACCAACUGUGGUUUCUUGUCAACGUGACAAGCUGCAUUUUACUUGUGUUAUGACCUUCAAGAGAAGCUGGUGAGGAUACUUCUGUUUACAGCAGCUAUGAAGUCAGUCAGAACAGGAAGGUUCAUGUUGAUGUGAUCGGUGCAAGGUUCUCUGAAUCUGAGGCGUGUAGCUGGUGGCUGAUCUAACCGCAGUGCAUCCACUUAGACAUUUUGCCAUCUCUUUCACUUUUGCUUAUUGUUUAGUUUGACCUUGUUGGUACAAAACCUCAAGUUUAUUUGCAUUCCUUACUGACUCACAUCUCUGACAACUGACAUUAUGAUUCUGUUACUUCAGUUCUUCAUGAUAAAAAAAAUUCCAUUCUAGCUUUA